CGACUUCGCCAUCACCAAGAACUAUGCAGUCUUCUGCGACAUUCAGCUCGGAAUGAAUCCUCUCGACAUGAUCGCCGGUGGCUCCCCCGUCGGCUCCGUCGCUUCCAAGGUCCCAAGGAUUGGAAUCCUUCCUCGGUACGCAAACUAUAGAAAUUAAAUUCUGAUUAGUUUAGAUGUGUGUAACAGUACUAUAAAACACUACAAGCCUAACCCUUUCAACUGUAUAUAAAUGUAGUUUCAUUAUUUCGGAUUUAACUGUUAUUACAGAGAUGCUAAGGAUGAAUCCAAGAUGAAGUGGUUCGACGUGCCGGGUUUUAAUAUAAUUCACGCGAUAAAUGCGUGGGAGGAGGACGGGGGAAGAACGGUGGUACUGUUGGCG
rnacentral:lncRNA from 1 species